rnacentral:pre_miRNA from 1 species
AAAAUACUCCCUCUGUCCGGAAAUACUCGUCGGAGGAAUGGAUGUAUCUAGAUGUAUUUUAGUUCUAGAUACAUUCAUUUUUAUGCAUUUUUCGACAAGUAUUUCCGGACGGAGGGAGUAAUAU